AUUGAACGCUGGCGGCAGGCCUAACACAUGCAAGUCGAGCGGAGCGGCGGACGGGUGAGUAAUGACUAGGAAUCUGCCUGGUAGUGGGGGAUAACUUCCGGCAACGGGCGCUAAUACCGAAUACUAUCAGAUGCGUCUAGGUCGUAUUAGCUAGUUGGUGGGGUAAAGGCAUACCAAGGCGAAGAUCCGGCACUGGUCUGAGAGGAUGAACAGUCACACUGGAACUGAGAAACGGUCCAGACUCCUACGGGAGGCAGCAGUGGGGAAUAUUGGAAAAUGGGCGAAAGCCUGAUCAAGCCAUGCCGCGUGUGUGAAGAAGGUCUUCGGAUUGGAAAGCACUUUAAGUUGGGAGGCGUUACCAACAGAAUAAGCACCGGCUAACUUCGUGCCAGCCGCCGCGGUAAUAC
rnacentral:rRNA from 1 species